UAUAGAAGCAAGGGAGCUACCAUCUUUAUCUGUGGGAGCUCCUCUCCUCUGGAAUGUGCUCACUGCUCUUGUCUGCCAGAACCUGGACCUGUUAACUUUCCAGACACUUGGCAAGGCUCCUUUUUAAUGGGAAUUUGGGAAGGAGAUAGGAUCAGGGUUCAAUCCUGAAGUGAUUGCUCAGAUCAAACAAGUAUUGAUGCAAAUGGAACUGCAGCCCUGUUUUUAGGUAAAAAACCCUAGGUCAGUAAAGACAAAGCCUAGGAGAGUCUCUGACCACACCAGUUCCAGUCCCCGUUCCUGUCAAAUCUGCAACCUGUGAAGCCAGUAUUGUUCCUCAGAAAGACAAAGCAGAGAGAGAUGAAG